rnacentral:rRNA from 1 species
CCUGAGAGGGCGACCGGCCACACUGGGACUGAGACACGGCCCAGACUCCUACGGGAGGCAGCAGUGGGGAAUAUUGCACAAUGGGCGGAAGCCUGAUGCAGCGACGCCGCGUGAGGGAUGAAGGCCUUCGGGUUGUAAACCUCUUUCGACAGGGACGAAGCGCAAGUGACGGUACCUGGAGAAGAAGCGCCGGCCAACUACGUGCCAGCAGCCGCGGUAAGACGUAGGGCGCGAGCGUUGUCCGGAUUUAUUGGGCGUAAAGAGCUCGUAGGCGGCUUGUUGCGUCAGCUGUGAAAACCCGCAGCUCAACUGUGGGCUUGCAGCUGAUACGGGCAGGCUUGAGUUCGGUAGGGGAGACUGGAAUUCCUGGUGUAGCGGUGAAAUGCGCAGAUAUCAGGAGGAACACCGGUGGCGAAGGCGGGUCUCUGGGCCGAUACUGACGCUGAGGAGCGAAAGCGUGGGGAGCGAACAGGAUUAGAUACCCUGGUAGUCCACGCUGUAAACGUUGGGCGCUAGGUGUGGGGGGCCUCUCCGGUUCUCUGUGCCGCAGCUAACGCAUUAAGCGCCCCGCCUGGGGAGUACGGCCGCAAGGCUAAAACUCAAAGGAAUUGACG